GGGGGCUUAGCUCAGUUGGGAGAGCGCCUGCUUUGCACGCAGGAGGUCAGCGGUUCGAACCCGCUAGUCUCCACCA
rnacentral:tRNA from 3 species